rnacentral:sRNA from 1 species
UGGGUAUUCUGCACCAUGGAGAUUGUGUUGCUGUCGACAUAGCCAGUAAGUUGAUCUUCAGUGAGAAAACUCUGGUACGUGCCUAUGUUGGAUAUUACCAGGAAUCGAUAGAUGUAUUGGAGCCCACUCCAAUGGAUCCCAGGAUUUUAAUGGAUAGUCGGAUGUCUAUCUUUGAGGACAACUUUUACGUUAAGGAAAGAAGUUAUGGAACGAUAGAACUUGUCAUAGUACACUUCCGUUUUGCCAGCGUAAAUGAGAAGCUACGAGCAGCGGCAGUCAAGCUUGAUACCACUCGUAUGUCAGAGUACUUGAAAAGGUUCAGCCUCAUGAAUGUUAUCCCUACAAAAA